UACAGAGGGGGCAAGCGUUGUUCGGAAUUACUGGGCGUAAAGGGCGCGUAGGCGGCCUUCUAAGUCGAACGUGAAAUCCCUGGGCUCAACCCAGGAACUGCGUCCGAUACUGGAAGGCUUGAAUCCGGGAGAGGGGUGUGGAAUUCCUGGUGUAGCGGUGAAAUGCGCAGAUAUCAGGAGGAACACCGACGGCGAAGGCAGCACUCUGGGCCGGUACUGACGCUGAGGAGCGAAAGCAUGGGGAGCGAACAGG
rnacentral:rRNA from 1 species